rnacentral:rRNA from 1 species
AUACGGAGGGUGCAAGCGUUGUUCGGAAUCACUGGGCGUAAAGGGCGCGCAGGCGGUUUGGUAAGUCAGAUGUGAAAGCCCACGACUCAACCGUGGAAGUGCAUUUGAAACUGUCAGACUUGAGUACUAGAGGGGAAAGUGGAAUUCCCGGUGUAGAGGUGAAAUUCGUAGAUAUCGGGAGGAAUACCGGUGGCGAAGGCGACUUUCUGGCUAGAUACUGACGCUGAGGCGCGAAAGCGUGGGGAGCAAACAGGAUUAGAAACCCUUGUAGUCC